ensembl:snoRNA
AGUCUUUUGUGGUUCAUAAACGUGUUGAUUGGGUUUUCAUGCCAUUGUAUGAGAUAUGCCUCCUUCAAACGUAGUUAUGAUGUUGGCCUAUUUCCCAUCUGGCA